rnacentral:rRNA from 1 species
CCUCGGAUCAGGUAGGGAUACCCGCUGAACUUAAGCAUAUCAAUAAG